GACGAACGCUGGCGGCGUGCUUAACACAUGCAAGUGGAGCGACGAACCGGGCUUCGGCCCGGGGCAAAGCCGCGAACGGGUGAGUAUCACGUGGGUAACCUGCCCCGAUGACCGGGACAACCCGAGGAAACUCGGGCUAAUACCGGAUGUGCUCCCAAUCCACCAGGGUUGGGAACAAAGGAAGCUUCGGCCUCCGCAUUGGGAUGGGCCCGCGGCCCAUUAGCUUGUUGGUGAGGUAAAGGCUCACCAAGGCCGCGAUGGGUAGCUGGUCUGAGAGGACGAUCAGCCACACUGGGACUGAGACACGGCCCAGACUCCUACGGGAGGCAGCAGUGGGGAAUCUUGCGCAAUGCGCGAAAGCGUGACGCAGCAACGCCGCGUGAGGGAAGAAGGCCUUCGGGUUGUAAACCUCUUUCAGGAGGGACGAAGGUUCAGGCGCGAAUAGCGACCUGGACUGACGGUACCUCCAGAAGAAGCCCCGGCUAACUACGUGCCAGCCGCCGCAGUAACAC
rnacentral:rRNA from 1 species